rnacentral:rRNA from 1 species
UAAGUAACAGGAUGUUAGGGCACAAUACCGGAGAGGGAGCCUGAGAAACAGCUACCAUAUCUAAGGAAGGCAGCAGGCGCGCAAAUUACUCAAUUCCGACACGGGGAGGUAGUGACAAUACAGGGUUCUUUUGGAUCUUAUAAUUGGAAUGAGUACAAUUUAGAUCUCUUAACGAGGAACAAUUGGAGGGCAAGUCUGCUAUGGUAAUUCCAGCUCCAAUAAUGUAUAUUAAAGUUGUUGCAGUUAAAAAGCUCGUAGUUGAAUUUUGGGAUCAAUGUUUUGGUCAUGCCGUUUGUAUGUACUGAUAUUAUUAGUUUUCACCUUCUAAAGAACUGUAAUGCCAUUAAUUUGGUGUCACAGGAAAUUAGGACUGUUACCUUAAAAAAAUUAAAGCGUUUAAAGCAGGCUUACGCUUGAAUACAUUAGCAUGAAAUAAUGAAAUAGGACAUCUGAUUCUAUUAUGUUGGUCUUUAGGAUCGAUGUAAUGAUUAAUAGGGAUAGUUGAGGGCAUUAGUAUUCAAUUGUCAGAGGUGAAAUUCUUGGAUUUAUUGAAGACUAAUUACUGCAAAAGUAUUUGCCAAGGAUGUUUUCAUUAAUCAAGAACGAAAGUUAGGGGAUCGAAGAUGAUCAGAUACCAUUGUAGUCUUAACCAUAAACUAUGCCAACUAGGGAUCGGAUGAUGUUAAUUUUUUAAUGACUCAUUCAGCGCCUUACGG